rnacentral:rRNA from 1 species
CCUUUGUACACACCGCCCGUCACACCAUGGGAGUGGGUUUGCCAGAAGUAGUUAGCCUAACCGCAAGGAGGGCGAUUACCACGGCAGGGUUCAUGACUGGGGUG